rnacentral:lncRNA from 1 species
AAGGAAACCAAAUGGGAACUCCCCUUUGGUUCUUUCUGAGGAAUUUAUUAGCUCCACUACAUCUAAAACAUAGGGGCUGUCAGAGUAUUAAUAAACUUUUUUUAAAAAAAGAAAGCAUUUACUCAUAAAAAGAAAUUCUCAGCAUUUUCUAAAAGAAAAAUAUUAAUAAACAGCUACUAUAAACACAGUUAAAAAUAGAAUACUUGCAAUAAAAAUGAAAGAAGACCAAUUACUUUUGGGGAGCUACAGUGCAGCAAACCUAGUUAUAAAACUCAAGUUCAGAGCCUCAUUAUUUCUAAGUGAGGGACUGGGGGAAACAGAUGAGACAAGAAACAUAAGAACCAUGCUACUGGAGUUCCCGUCGUGGCGUAGCAGAAACAAGAAACCAUGAGGUUGCGGGUUCGAACCCUGGCCUUGCGCAAUGGGUUAAGGAUCCAGCGUUACCAUCAGCUGUGGUGUAGAUCACAGACGCGGCUUGGAUCUGGCAUUGCUAUGGCUGUGGCAUAGGCUGGUGGCUACAGCUCCAAUUAGACCCCUAGGCUGGGAGCCUCCAUGUGUUGCAGGUGUGGCCCUAAAAAGACAAAAAAUAAAAAAUAAAGAACUAUACUACUUACUAAGUAUAAAAGUAAAAAAAAAAAAAAAAUGACAACUUUCUACUUUUGAAUCAAGACAAGACUUUUGCUUAUUAGUUUUUGUUUUGCAGUCAUGAAGAUUCUAUAAUGCAAAAAAGGCUGGAUUUUUUUUUUUCUCAAGUCUUUAGUAAAUCCAUUUUAUAAGGCUGGGAAAACUUAGCAUGUAACUGAUUUUUGUCAGUAUCAGAUAGCUAUGAAAAAGAAUCACACCAGAUACAUGUUCCUGAGUCACCAUUUUUAGUGUUUAAAAAACCAUUUUUUUCUAGUUCAAGAUGAUAGUUCUGAAUGCUAAUUCCAAAACCUUACAGUCUGUAUGUGAUAUGGAAUGACUGUGCAUUUAAAAAAACAAAUGGUAAAAGCAGAGGCAGAAUUACUGUGAAGCUAAGGAAGCACAAAUUAUAAGGCUCCUUUGCACAGUCCUUCUCCAGAGCACUGAGAGGGACUCUGGCAAUGAAUUCAGUGAUCAUACAUUUUCAUACAAUUGAUAGAAGUAAGACAUAUUAACUACAAUUAGUUAAGACCAGUGUCUUUUCAUGAUGAUUUCUCUAUCACCUUACCUCCUGGUUGGUGUGUCAGAGUAGCCACAUACAUCUUAGAACUCAGUUAAGAUGAGGUUGGGUUUGGGAUAUAUUUAGCCAGAGUUUAGUGGGAUAGGAUUACACGGUCUGCAGAGCUUUAUGUAUAAAUAUACUAUAACCAGCCAAGUAAGUUCAAGACGAGCUUCCAACAAUACUCUUAUCGCUCAGUGUACUGACUCAUCCAUAAUCAUGAACCCUAGAUGGAGGUCAAAUGUCACAUUAUGGCAUGAACAUGUCUUAUAAUGCCUGGUACUAAAGGUAUAUAACUAAGUCAAGAAGAAAUAUGAGAGGUUUUCUCAAAUUUGACAACAAUCUUAAAAAUUUAGAAGACACUAUUAACAAGUUUAAUAAUGAGUUGUAAACUGAAAAAAAAAGUUUUUCUUCUAUCAAUAAUAAAAAAGACUUUUGAUUAAUUUCAAAGGGUACUGUCCUCCCAUUGUAAACACUCAAAAACGAGACAAAGUACAUGAAACAUGAUUUUCAGAUAUUGCACAAAAAAUAGUGCCGAAUUGUGAUGUCUGAAAGAAGGGUCAUGCAUUAGUAGUGAGGCUAAAUUAGUUCCAAAAUAAAGCCCCACCAUAAUAAAGCUUAAAGGCAAGAUUUGAAAGGAUAAAAUGGAUGUGCUUAACUGCACACCAGAACAAAUCCAUCACUCUUUAAAGAGAGGCAACCAAAUCUAGUAACCAACAAUAAAAUCCAGUACCCAAUUAUAAAAUUCACAAGGCUUAGCAUCCAGUCAAAAUUACUAGGCAUGUAAAGGAGUGAGAGAUUAUAACCCAUAAUCAGUAAAAAGAAUUAGAAACAUACCUAGAAACACAGCACAGACUGGAGGGAAAUAUUUACAUAAGACGUAUCAGAUGGAGAAAUGUUACCCAAAAUAUACAAAGAACUCCUUAAAAACUCAAGAAUAAGAAAAAAAUCUAAUUUGAAAAUUGGCCAAAGACCUUAAUAGACACUUGCCAACAAUAUAUAUAGACCUAAACAAUAUUAUUUACCAACUUGACCUGACAUAGAAACAUUAGAAUGACACUAUCAAAUGUGUAUUUUUAAAAAAGAAAUGAAUACAGAAAGAAACUAGAGAUGGAAAAAGACUGGAGAAGAGAGAUGAGCUGGGCACUUGCUACAAUGGUCCAAGCAAGAAGAUGAUACAGAUGGCAGGACUGAAGAAGCGUCAGAUUUAAGAGACAUUUUUGAAGCAGCAGUUAGUAAGAGUGCUAUCAGUAUCAGAGGUAAAGGAAGCCAAGGAUGAAUCCCAGGUUUCUGGAUUGGCCAGGGGGAAAUAAAGCGGAGCCAUUAACACAGAAAUAAGUAUAAAAGGGAGGCAUAUAUUGUGAAAAAAGAGCAGAGAUUUGAACAUGUGGAGAUAGGUAUUUUUGUACAUCCAUACAGCAUUAUAUAAUAGCCAAAUAUAGACCUUUAAAUACUAUCAUCCUUCCUAAAAUAUGCUUUGAUCGUCACUCCAUGUCUUCAAACUUUCCCACAGCUUCUCACUACGUGCAGGACGAAGUCUAAAUGUUUCUCUUGUUACU